rnacentral:rRNA from 1 species
UGGGCCCUGAAUCCGGAUAUCAAUGGCCACUACGUCAUUGUGUACAUUGUACACACGACGGAUAGGUGGAUCGAGAGGCCGGGAGAGAGAUGGAUAUCUGGCAAAAGACGCCCUGAGAAUCUGAUCACGUGUCAAGAUGAGCGCUGGGGGCGUGCCUAAUACAUGCAAGUCGAGCGAACAGAUAAGGAGCUUGCUCCUUUGACGUUAGCGGCGGACGGGUGAGUAACACGUGGGUAACCUACCUAUAAGACUGGAAUAACUUCGGGAAACCGAAGCUAAUGCCGGAUAACAUGUAGAACCGCAUGGUUCUACAGUGAAAGAUGGCCUUGCUAUCACUUAUAGAUGGACCCGCGCCGUAUUAGCUAGUUGGUAAGGUAACGGCUUACCAAGGCAACGAUACGUAGCCGACCUGAGAGGGUGAUCGGCCACACUGGAACUGAGACACGGUCCAGACUCCUACGGGAGGCAGC